rnacentral:lncRNA from 1 species
CUCCACCUUUGGGCAAGAUGGCUGCGCCCACUGGCUUUGCCGGGAGGGAGGGGCUGCUAUUCUCACGCGCCGAUCUGGAUUCAGAUCAGUUCUGUUCUCUGGUCUCCCGAGGCCCUGGGUUUAUGGGGUCCCCACGGACGGAAGCUUUCCCCCCAUCAGUGGGUUUCCACUGAACCAGCGGCAGGAGUCCUGGAUGAUCCCCCGGUCGCGCGGCCCCUCCCCCACUCCUUCGUGACCCACGCCGCAGCCAUCGCAGACUCUAGGGGAGGGAGCAAUGUUCUCUCCUAUCGUUCCAGCACCUCCAAGGCCAAAAUAACACAUUGGUUAUAGACGAAGCUCUCCGUGUGCCCUUUCCAGACUCCACUUCCCUCUCUCCUCCUCCUAUGAUCUGGCUCCUGAACUUGGUCAUCACCUGCUAGGGGCCUGACUGUUUUUAGUCCAGAGAUCUUGUGACUGAAGUGGAUGAGUAUGAUAAAUAAAGGGUGUAUGUUUUCACGUGUUAAGACAUCUUCCAUAGCUCAAGGGGAAAUUCAUGAAAGAUCUCAAGACUCUGAGCUUCCCUGGUAAAGAGGACAGGGCGUGUAAGUCACGGCCAAGGCUCCAGACGCCGCUACAUGAGGCGGCACCUGCGGAAAACCCGACUGAAGCGUUAACAGAACACAGCAUCUGUGCUUCGCUUUCCUAAACUCUAAUAAAAAU